CUUCUUUGCUUCCUGUCUGGUCCUGCUGUUUCCUUUGCUCAGGCUCCUGGGUCGGCUACGGAGUGGCCCUGGGGCCCUCGCUUUGAAUCUCCCAAACCAAUUCUCAUUAAAUUGGGCUUCAGACGAAAGCUUGUGCUGAGUUCUCUGUAGGCAGUGUUCCUGGUGAGCUGCCCCUCCUCACAAGUGAGAGCUCAGGCUCAUAAAUACUGCAUGCACUGUCUCAUAAAUGAGAUUAAGAUCGGAGUGAAUCUGGGAGGAACAUGGGCGCUAGGAGCCGGUGAGAUGACUCAGCACCCUGUCCAUCAUCCCUGUCGACCACACCUACCGAUUCAGAGGGCAGCACCUAAAGCUGAGGUCUGGCCUGAGUUACGGCCCCUUUGUUGCUGAGACUGCUCUUGUGUGUUUGACCUGUGUGCAGUGCUUUCCUGUUGCCCCGGUACCUUUCUUCCUCUGUUACACCUUUGUUGGCACUGACUGGCCGUGCGCACAACCUCCAGUGACCGUCAAUAAACGUUGCUGCUCACUACUUAAUACUGGGUGUAUGCUUGGCAGUGCUUUCCUCCUCAUAUACAAGGUCUUGGACUUUUGCUGGGCCAUUCAGCUGUACCACUUCUCAGUUUUUCCCGAAAGUUGGUGUCUGAUCUAAAUACUUGAUUAAGGUUUUGGCAAAGCCUUUUCAGAGGUAUCUCCACCAGAAAGCAAUUAGCCUUUUCCUUCCUUUUUCAGGUAUUUGGAGUCAUUGUUGAUCAAGACUUAGCUUUACCAGCUCAUUAAAAGCGUUUUAGCUGGGUGUGGUGGCAUGUGCUUAUAAAUCCCAGCACUAGGGAGGCUGAGGCAGGAGGAUCUGUGUGCAUUUGAAGCCAGCCUGAAUUACAAAGCAAUACCUUGUCUCAGAAAAACAAACAACAAAAAAAGUGGUAUUUUAUCAUUCCUUUUAAUAUUUGGAACAUUAUAAAAAGGAACUGCCCACAUCAGCUAUUUGGUUACCCUGGAGUGUAGUUUGCAUAGAACAGGUAACUAUAGUUAAUGUUUUGGAUUUCUUUUAUUUACUAGUUAUUGAAAUAAUGAGCUGGUUCUCUAGCAUCCAGUGGUACCCUGAGGAGUUGUUAUUUUGAUUUUAGUUAUUUUCAGGUGGUUAUGCUGGAAACUGGAUUCACAGUUAACUUCUUUUUCCUUUUCUUUCUUUUUUUUUUUGAUA